GUUUUUAUAGUUUAAUAAAAAUUUUAAUUUUGUAAAUUAAAGAUAAUGAAAAUUUAAAAACA
rnacentral:tRNA from 1 species